rnacentral:lncRNA from 1 species
CUUUGAGCGGGUCUUUGUGGCGAUCGCUCUCCCCACUCCAGAAUCGCUGUUUUCCUCCAGCUGUGGGCCGACGAAACGACUCUAAUGUGGCGUGUGGACUGGGAGACAUCCAAAGAAGGUUCAGAGAGGCUGUGGGGCCGGCUCGGGCUACACCCCAGAGAGCCACGCUCCACCCCAGGAAUGACCAGGACACGUGCCACUUCAGGGGCGCCCCCGCAGGGCCCAACGGGGCUCCUCAUUGGGCCCCCACUGCUGUCCCAGCGGUGCAGGGAAAUGCUGGUACAUAAUGGUGCAACUCACAAUCGAUGGCAUUGUCAAUUGGAUGAAACACAGCA